CUGUUUCUGUCUGGCUUCAGAAAACUCUGGUCCUGGUCAUGGAGGCUGUUGGGAUCAUGGACGUCCACUGGGCUUCUGGCAGAUGAACUUCAGCGGUGUAAAGCAGCACAAGUCAUUGAAACCAUUGGUGAUCAGGACACAGACCACUGGUAAAGACCAUGAAACCAGUCUAAUGCAGCAAGGAGAUGGUUGAAGAGUUCUGUUCUCAAAGAAAGUUGCCUAACAGAACUCUUCAACCUUGACUAUGACCUGGAUGACUGAGAAUCAAUUCAUAGGCAGUAAGGAGAUGACUUGUUCCAGGUCAGAGGAAAUUUGCUAAAGAAGUAACAGCUGAACCCUGAGUGUGUCCAAUUGUUAGGACAACAACCGUCCACUGCUGAGUCUGGGACACAGAUGAGAAGCAGAAACCAGGACAGGCCUGUUGUUAGC